UCGCGGCCGACGCCUCAGCCAAUCCGCGUGCUGCAUCCCGACCCCGCGAGCACCCGCGCCCAGACUCCGCCCCCACGCCCGAAUCCUGACCCACCCGGCCCUGAAGCUCAGGCGUGACCCGAGCCGGGGGAGGCGAGACUGGCGCGCGCGUAGGAGCAUGUUUUUGGCCCAGAGGAGACUUUGCUCCCUUGAAAGUAGAGCAAAAUUCCUGAAGACAAUUUAUUCUUCAAAAAUCCUCGGACUCCCUACUUCUGCUAAAAUGUCUUUGAAAAUCACCAAUGCAAAACGAAUUGAAGGCCUUGAUAGUAAUGUGUGGAUUGAAUUUACCAAGUUGGCCGCAGACCCCUCUGUUGUGAAUCUUGGCCAAGGCCUUCCAGAUAUAUCCCCUCCUGUAUAUGUAAAGGAAGAAUUAUCAAAGAUUGCAGCAAUCGAUAGUCUGAACCAGUAUACACGAGGCUUUGGUCAUCCAUCGCUUGUGAAAGCUCUAUCCUGCUUAUAUGAAAAAAUUUAUCAAAAGCAAAUCAAUCCAAAUAAAGAAAUCCUUGUGACAGUAGGAGCAUAUGGAUCUCUUUUUAAUACCAUUCAAGGAUUAAUUGAUGAGGGAGAUGAAGUCAUAGUAAUAGUACCUUUCUAUGACUGCUAUGAGUCCAUGGUGAGAAUGGCUGGAGCAACACCUGUUUUUAUUCCCCUAAGACCUAAACCUGUCGAUGGGAAAAAAUGGUCUAGUUCUGACUGGACAUUGGAUCCUCAAGAACUGGCAAGUAAGUUUAACUCCAAAACCAAAGCGAUUAUACUGAAUACUCCACAUAACCCCAUUGGCAAGGUAUAUACCAAAGAAGAACUCCAAGUAAUUGCUGACCUUUGCAUCAAAUAUGACACACUCUGCAUCAGUGAUGAGGUUUAUGAAUGGCUUGUAUAUACUGGAAAUAAACAUGUAAAAAUAGCUACUUUUCCAGGUAUGUGGGAGAGAACAAUAACGAUAGGAAGUGCCGGAAAGACUUUCAGUGUAACUGGCUGGAAGCUUGGCUGGUCCAUUGGUCCUAAUCAUUUGAUAAAACAUUUACAGACAGUUCAACAAAACACUGUUUAUACUUGUGCUACACCUUUACAGGAAGCCUUGGCUCAAGCUUUUUGGAUUGACAUCAAGCGCAUGGAUGACCCAGAGUGUUACUUUAAUUCUUUGCCAAAAGAGUUAGAAGUAAAAAGAGAUCGGAUGAUACAUUUACUUGAAAGUCUUGGCCUAAAACCCAUAGUUCCUGAUGGGGGAUACUUCAUCAUUGCUGAUGUGUCUUCGCUAGGUUUGUAAGGGUUUUUAUUAUUUCAAAUAUAUGGAAACUUAUGUGUGAAAUUACAUCAGAAUUAGGGAGUAAAGAUUGCUGUCAAAGCCAUAUCAGCAUUUUGUCUAUGGAAAAAUGGCUUUUCGUUAUGUCUGUUUUUGUUUUGUUUUGUUUUAUAUAAUCAUUUUGACUUUAGGUCCCUGACCUUAAAUGCAACUGUUAUUAACAUGGUUACAGGUAUUCCAUUAAACAUCGAAUUUGCUAUCAUCUUGUUCUAGUGUGUAGUUUGAAAUACAGGUACGUGAAAUAAUAUACAUACCCUGUGUUCCUUUGAGUAAAAUUUUCGUUUCCUUUUUACUGAAGAAAAAGGUGGUUUCUAAAAGGUUGAUGCUAUCGGGGAAUAUUAAAAUGCUAUUUUAGAAUUUACUGAAAUGAAGUAAAGAAGAAAAAUAAUAUUUAUUGAGAGGCUACUACAUGCCUAGCACUUCCACACACCCUUUUGAAGAAGGUGUUGUUAGCUCCAUUUUUAAAGAUGUGAACACUUAGAAAGCUUUAAGUAACUUGCUGAAGUCACAUAGCUACAUUCCACGUAGUUUUGUCUCCAAAAAGCAAUGGUUUUUAUAUUACCUGAAGCUGUUGUAUGUAGUUCUGACAUGCCAUACAAAUCUAAAAUUAGAAGCAUGGUAACAUUUUGUAUAUAACUUAUUUUCUUAAAAAAAAAUUAUGAUGUUAAUGAAACAGUGAUUAUUAUUUCUUCAUUUGUUGUGAGAGAUGGAGAGACCUUGGUGCCCAGAGGUUUUUGCUGUCCUUUUGCCUGAAAGCUGGAUGCAGACCUCUCUGAUAUGAAGGACAGCAAUGAACCUUAUGACUAUAAAUUUGUGAAAUGGAUGACUAAAAAUAAGAAACUGUCAGCCAUUCCAGUUUCCGCAUUCUGUAACACAGAGACCAAAUUACAGUUUGAGAAGUUUGUGCGAUUUUGCUUCAUUAAAAAAGACAGUACACUGGAUGCUGCUGAAGAAAUCAUUAAGGGAUGGAAUAGACAGAAGUCUUGAUACAUGCAGACUGUUUCUACUAGAUGACCGAAUAUGGAAUUAUUUAGUGCUGCCAUCUGCUGGAUAUUGAAAAACAAAUAUUUCAGUACAAAUGAAAUUUGAAGAAAAUUUUCCAAAUGUUAACCCUACCGGGUUGUUUUGUUUGUUUUGUUUUUCAGUUGAAAUGUAUGAAAACACCUUCCAUAACCAUUUUAUGAGGAGUAUAGCAUUUGGCUUAAGAAUUGUGAGAAGCUGGUUGGUGUUUAACCUCUCAUUGCUUCAGUUUCCUCAUCAUAAAAGGGGAAUAAAAUAUAGCACCUACUUUAGGAUGCCUGGCUGGCUCGGUUGGUAGAGCAUGCGACUCUUGAUCUUGGGGUCAUGAGUUUGAGCCCCAUGUUGGGCAUGGAGCCUGUGCCAAAAAAACCCCAAAACAACAGCACUUAUUUUAGAUGAAGUUUUUGAGGAUAAAAUAGAUUGAUAUAUGUAAAGCCUCAAUAAACACUCAACUAAUGUUAGCCGGUUUCAUGACUCCACCUUGUAUAAAAACUCUUAGCCAGUUAUACCCCCUCAACUCCAUGUCCUUGGUUUAUCUACCCACACGUAGUUCUCUCCCUUUCAUUUACCAGUGGCUUUGAACUUUGCUCACAAUUUUGCUUCUCUGUCACAAAUACUGCCAUCAUCUGGAGUGGCUUCAAGGUUCACAGGGAUUGCCUAGGCCUUCAGCACUUUGACCUACUCACCUUUAGUGAUGUUCACCUUCACUCCACACUCCAGCCACUUACCCUCUUGGACACACCCUGAACCUUUCAUCAUCUAAAGCUGCGCCACCUUUGAGAUAAUAAGUUAGUCAUCUCACACUGUAACCACCUAUCCUAAUAGUAUUCUCUCUGUGUGUCUCGUCUGCUCUUAAAAAUACCACUUUUUAAAACUCACUAUAAUUUUAAAUCCACUAUUUCUCAAAAAGAAAAAAAGGGUUUAUGGCACUCUUAUAGCAGAAUCGCAAUCAAUCUAUGAGAAUAGAUUUCUGAUCUUUACUCUAGACCUGCUGAAAAUAAUUUCAGGAUCUGGCCUUUCCAAGCUGAUUUUUAUACCCACUGGAUUUUGAUAAUCAUUGCUGUAGUCCACGGAGCCUUUAAUUCCUAUUGGUUGGUCCCCUUAUAUCUUCCUCACCCAGCUUAGAUUUCAUCAUCUGUCACUUCAGCCAAGAUACCCUUGCUGCCUUAAAUAACUUGCCCAUUAUUCUAUCUCACCUAUCCAGCCAAAAAAC